UACAGAGGGUGCAAGCGUUAAUCGGAAUUACUGGGCGUAAAGCGCACGUAGGCGGCUAUUCAAGUCGGGGGUGAAAGCCCGGGGCUCAACCCCGGAACUGCCUUUGAUACUGGCGAUCUUGAGUCCGGGAGAGGUGAGUGGAACUGCGAGUGUAGAGGUGAAAUUCGUAGAUAUUCGCAAGAACACCAGUGGCGAAGGCGGCUCACUGGCCCGGUACUGACGCUGAGGUGCGAAAGCGUGGGGAGCAAACAGG
rnacentral:rRNA from 1 species